rnacentral:rRNA from 1 species
UACGGAGGGUGCAAGCGUUAAUCGGAAUUACUGGGCGUAAAGCGCACGCAGGUGGCUGAGUCAGUCGAUUGUGAAAGCCCUGGGCUUAACCUGGGGAAUUGCAGUCGAUACUACUCAGCUAGAGUAUGGGAGAGGGCAGUGGAAUUCCCGGUGUAGCGGUGAAAUGCGUAGAUAUCAGGAGGAACACCGGUGGCGAAGGCGGGUCUCUGGGCCGAAACUGGACGCUGAGGAGCGAAAGCGUGGGGAGCGAACAGG